AAGGUUUCGGAGCCAGUCGCUUGGAUUAAUUCAAGAGGAAAGUCCGGACUUCACAGGGCAAGGGAGACAGCUAACGACUGUUGGGAGAAAUCCUAAGGAAAGUGCCACAGAAAAUAAACCGCCUGUAAAGGUAAGGGUGAAAAGGUAGUGUAAGAGACUACCGGUGGGCUAAGAGAUUAGUUCAGCCGGGUAAACCCCUCCCGAAGCAAGAAUAAGUAGAAAGCGAUUAAAGGCUGCCCGUCUUCGCUUAAUGGUAAUUCGCUAAAGUUGACAGAUGAUUGUCAACUUAGAUAAAUGAUUGGCAAAUACAGAAUCCGGCUUAUACCGGGACCUUUUAA
rfam:Leptotrichia goodfellowii F0264 contig00117, whole genome shotgun sequence.